CUGCGGCAAGGUUAACGGCUUGUUAACGUUUCGAGGCCAGUCUGGCUGCAAAUACCCGCUUUCUCCUUGACCACGGAUGAACUGGCACUGAGGCGAGCGGAUGACGAAAGGCCGGGUUGAACCGGCCUUUUUGUUA
rnacentral:sRNA from 1 species